UGGGCUGCAACCCGCCCACAUGAAGUUGGAGUUGCUAGUAAUCGCGAAUCAGCAUGUCGCGGUGAAUACGUUCCCGGGCCUUGUACACACCGCCCGUCACACCAUGGGAGUUGGGAGCACCGAAGCCGGUGAGUUGACCGAAAGGGGACAGCCGUCGAAGGUGAGACCGAUGACUGGGGUGAAGUCGUAACAAGGUACC
rnacentral:rRNA from 1 species